AGUUCAUCCUGCCUAAAGACACCGGCGAAUGCGUAGCUCAAACAUGCCUAAAGCGUUUGCAUUCACCGUUCGGGGUAAUCAGUGAGCGAUAAAUCGAGUUUCGUGCGGUUACUAAGGCUUCUGUAUCUAAGUAGCUGAUGAAAAUCGUACUAGGAAUCAAUAACUCUUCUACCAAUUACCUUCUACCUUGCGAAUGUUGUCGUCAAUUAACUUUACUGCCAUCCAAUUGGACUCUAUCAAGGGCGAGCCUCCGGCUAGUAAGACCAUAAGAUAAUGAUAUCGCUUGCAAUUUCGGGGGUGGCUGAAGAGAACCAGUCGUUCAUAGAACGCAUUUCUAGUCCGUCUAGUGUUUAUGUGUCUCGUUUCAGUUAGAAACUGUCUCAAGCAAGUUGAUGCAAACUACACCGGCAUUAAAUCCGUCUUUGAUCGUAUCCGUCUGAUGGUCUUCAAAUAUUCUACCCUAUAUGCUGCACCACACGAUUUACAAUCCCACUGUCCAUACGAUGCUUGAACCCACGACGGGAAUGUUGGUAAGGUGUGUUAGUUGACGACUUGUCACGGGAUCGCCGCAAUACAACGGUAAUUGAACACAUUCGAUCGUAGUGGCACGUAUUACGUAUACGUAUAGGUAUAUGAUUCCAAGCUAGCUGCAUGAUACUUUACCGUAGCUGGAAACUUGUGUGAUAUCAAUCCAAUUCCAUUCAAACCCGAUCAAUUUUAGACAAUGCAAUAUGCAAUUAAUGCAGUGAGCCAAUUCAGUUUCUUCCAA